CCAUGGAGUAACGUGACGGCAACAGUCCACCAAGGAGUCCAGAUGCCUAUGUGCUUUUGCCUUUUGCGGAUCCUUGUGCAAGCUAAUGAAAUCAAGAAUUUUGGGGGACGACUUUGGCAUGAGGUUCUUCAUGUGCGAUAAUUACGAGUAUGACCCGCCCAAACAAUGCGGCAAGGAUCGAGCAAAGACUCCACCGCCUCUAUGUGAUUUCGUGCAGUGGUUAGACACCGAGCAAUCUCAGCAGGAUAAGGACCACGUUGAGCGUCAAGCAAGGUGGGUUGCACAAAGGUGGCAAUGAAUGCUGCAUGAAAAACAGAUGGAGGAGAAGCGCAAGAAAGACCAG